AAGCUUCAGUCUCCUAUCUCAAGAAUGCAGAUGGUAACAUCCUACUCAUCUUUAGUCUCAACUCAAAUGUCACCUGUUUAAAGAGCUU
rnacentral:lncRNA from 1 species